rnacentral:rRNA from 1 species
UUAAAUGGCCGCGGUAUUUUGACCGUGCUAAGGUAGCAUAAUCAUUAGUUUUUUAAUUGAAAGCUGGAAUGAAGGGUUGAAUGAAAAAAUAACUGUCUUAAAUUAAUUUUAUUAAAACUUUAUUUUUAAGUUAAAAAGCUUAAAUAUUUUUAAAAGACGAGAAGACCCUAUAGAGUUUUAUAAAAACUAUAUUUUAAAAUUUUAGAAUUUUUAUUUUUUAAGUAUUUUAUUUAUUUGAUUGGGGUGAUUAAAAAAUUUAUUAAACUUUUUUUUUAUUUUAAUAUUAAUUAAUAAAUAUUUGAUCCUAUAAUUUAGAUUAAAAGAAAAAAUUACCUUAGGGAUAACAGCGUAAUCUUAUUAGAGAGUU